AUUUUAGAGAAUUUAUCCCUUUUCUCUCCAACUUGAUCUUCUUCUCUUCCUCAUAGCUUUUGAAGCCAUGAAUUACAAAACAUUCUCAUUUUUCUUCUUAGCCUUUUUUGUCUUAAUUCUUUGUCUAUCCUCAACAACAUCCUCUCGGAAAUUAUCAGGUUAUAGAGGUGAUAGCUAUAAAAUUGGAGAAGGAUUGUCCCUUAAAUUUGCAGUGCCACGUCGUUCGAAGAUGUAUACUCCAGGAAUUCACGCUGACCCAUCAAAAUCAGGGCCUGAUGGAGGAUCAUGAACAGAGAUUGAGAUAUAAAGGGCUGAGUAACAUAGUUUCUAUUCAACUAGAAUUUUUCUGAAUGGAGUUAAGCUUGUAAUAAGGAUUUAUCUGUGUUAAGUUUGAAUUAUGUUUACACUUCUUCUGAGUUUUUGCUAAUUGUGUGUAAAGACUUGCUUAUAGGAGACGAGUUGUAGGGCAUGGCAUUAGCUUGUUGAGUAUGUGUUUAGAUUGUUAAAUUAAGAUGAGGUAUUUACUCGUUGAGUAUGCCA